AAUUUGUACUAUUUUGGUAAUUCCAUAACUUACUGGCAACGUAACUGUUACGUCCUAGGGAGGUAAUUUCAUUACCAUUACAGUACCAAAUCACCACGUCGCCAGUACGGACUCCCUACGUCGCAAGAUAACCAAGUACGUCCCAGUUACGUAAUAAAUUCGUACUAUUUUGGUAAUUUCAUAACUUACUGGGAACGUAACUGUUACGUCCCAGGGAGGUAAUUUCAUUACCUUUACAAUUAUAUAAACAUUAAUUUCGUUUUCUAUUUAGGUUAGCUUAUUAAAACUUUUCAGUCUCAAAGUUUCCCUUAAAUAAGUCAAAAUAGAUUAAAUACACACGAACUGCCAUUUAAAUGGGAAACAUGAAACAGCACGCGCCUCCCGCCCAGCUGACCUCAACCAGAGCGCGCCUCCCGCCCAGCUGACCUCAACCAGAGCGCGCGACCGCGCGUGCACAGCAGAACGGUGGCUGACAGGACGCGGUGUUGUUUCUCUGAACUGAGACCCGUUUAAAAUACACAAGAACUUAUUUUAGUUGCUUAAGAGUUAUGAAAACAGCAUGUUAACAUACUUAUUAAGGCUCACAGAAUCUCGCCCGACAGUAUAAACCGCGUUUUAUGCUGCACUGACAGGAAUGUUCAUCUGACAGGAAAUUUCGUUUUAUCAGUUUUGUGGGACACGUUUGGCGUUUUGGACUGGUGAAGGUUAGAGCAGCGUUACCCUGGCAACCGGAACAUGAAGAGGACCGCGCGCCCUCUCUCUGUCUGACAAAACUACGCCUGCACAAUUCAGAAAUUACAUUUUAAAUGAACUUAUAUGGAGAAUCCAUUUAAAUGUUCAUUUUAACAUAUGUUUAUUUAAAUGUUUGUAAUGUUCAUGUUCAAUAAAUGAAGUAUUCAAGCUCUGAG